UGAGAAGCGGAUUCCAAAACAGGCCAAGUGCAGACGCCAGGGCACGUGAGCGGCGCGAGCCGGCAGCACAGCGCUGAGCCCGCGAAUCCCCCAGCCCCGAGUUCACAAACUCGCGUGGGAGUGCACGCUAAGGAAGAUUCCCAGGAGAAAAUGAAAAGCAGGAAGGGAAAAAACAACACAGAGACAGUGACAGACUUGCAGUCCUAAGGAGAGGAGGCAUUUCCGGAAGCAAACAAAAACAGUUUCUUUUUCUGCUUGGUGACAAGAGAGUAAACAAGGCGCCAGCAGCUCCAAGUUCGCUUUUGCAAAAAGAAACGGUGCGGCCAGAAGCCUCAGGUGCAACCGCCGCCUCGGGCUUAUUCCCUAACUUUGGGGGGGAAACCGGCGAUGUCAGUUCCAGCCCGCGUUCACCCACCGCCGGGCGCGCACUCCCGCCGCCCGGAGCGGACCUGUGGCCGCCCUGAGAGGAAGAGAGAGGAAGAGAGAGAGAAAUAUCAAUGUAUGUACCAAGGAUCAAACUCACAACCUAGGAGGACCUGAUCCCUUCUCCACUGGAUCUGAAGUGGGACCAUGUGAAGUGUGGGACUGCUGCGGUUGUGAAGAAAGCUUGUGGGCCUGCCAGCACUGAGGACACAGUCAGCCUAGGCUGAAGAGAAACUGUGCUGAGAGGCAGAGCCUGAGAGUGCCACCUGAGUCCUGCUGUCAUCUUGAAAUCAAACCCUGGACUCCCACAGUUACCCAACACCAUACAGUCUCAAUUUUUGCUUAACCCCGAUUCUUACAACUAAUAGAGUCCUAAUUGAUAUAUCACCAGAGCUUAUGAUCAGCAUAAGAAGUCCUGUUACCAAGUUAACUAUUACAAUUUCAGCCUUAAGUAAAGAUAAUUGUCUACCCAGGCCUGAGGAAAUAGCAAAAUAACUAGGAACAUUCUUUCUACUAAAGAAUUUUUCUAUCACUAGAGGGUGCUAGAUACUAUCUCAGCCAAGUAAGGAAGAAACUGAAUAAUUUCAUGUCUAUUAAUUAAUCCUAUAUAAUAAAAGGGUAAUAUGCAAAUUGACCCUAACAGUGGAAUGGCCAGGAAGGACCGGUCGCUACAAUGUGCACUGACCCCCGGGGGCAGACACUCAAUGCAGGAGCUAUCCCUGGUGGUCAGUGCACUUCCACAGGGGCAACGCUGCUCAGCCAGCAGCCGGCUCAUGGCUGGCCAGCGCAGUGGUGGUGGGAGCCUCUCCCACCUCUGUGGAAGCGCUAAGGAUGUCCAACUAACGGCUAAGCUCUUAGUCGGAUAUCUCCUGAGGGCUCCCAGACUGCAAGAGGGAUAUCUGACUGGCCAGCUUAGGCAUGAUCCCCCUCAGAAGUUUAUUUUAUCUUAUUUUUGCAAUUUGCAAAUGGUCCUCUCAAGGCCACGUGGACCACCAACAUCUCUUAUAAGUGACAAUUUAGGUGGGCCCUGCCCAUACCUACCAACAUCAGUGCCUUUUACUGUCCUGUACUGUUUUCCUUCUUCACCAGAUUAGAGGGUGUAAGCAUUGCCUGCACUCCAUCAUCUUCGCUUCUCCACAAAGAAAACAGGAUUUUAAAAUUUUUUCUGGAAAAGAACUACAAAGGAAUUGUUAGAUUAGGCCUAAGCCGGCAGGUGGACAUCCCUUGAAAGCUCCUGGACUGCAAGAUGGCACAGGCCGGGCUGAGGGACACCCCCCCCCCCCCACCCAAGUGCAUGAAUUUUCAUGCACCGGGCCUCUAGUAGAAAUAUAUUUAGGUUCUUGGGAAAAGGAAGAAAAAGGAGGAAGUGCUUUGAUAUAGACAGAGAAUCCAUGACCCUGAUCACAGAGACAUUUUCAUCUCCCAGAGAACAUAUUUCUUACAAGGUUAAAGAAAUGAUGCAGGAUUAAGCCCACCCAACUGAGUCACACCAGCUUGGGUACUAAUAGAUAUAUUUUAAAUAAACUUACUUUGUUUCUAACCAAGGUUAUGUUAAACUAUUGCAUUAUAACUGCAAAUGGAUAAUCAACAUUCCUUCCCCAAAGUAGAAAGUAACCAUAAAAAUAAAUACAGAACUAUUGAAACAAAAUAUUUGUCUAUAUACCUCUAAAAAUUGUUUCCCGAACCACCAGUGGUAAGGGCAGUAAUUAUGGAAAGGUUGACUUAAGGCCUAGCAGCCUGUUCUCUGUUUUAGCCUUUCUCCCUGCCUCCAAAUGACCAUCAGAGAAAAGACCAACAAACCAGGGCCUCAGACUCUUCCCAGGAGACUAGAAGGGAGGUGACGUGUGAGAACAAGAGAAGAUGUCAUUGUAGUCAUUGUCUCUGACGCCCAUGUAGUGCUGGAAG